UUCUCUACGGGAGGGCGCCGCUAUUUAUGUAGGCACGCUAAAUUUUUAUUUUAUUUUUUGGUCAAAUUUAGGAAGGAGAAUGGAGGGGGGAAACUCAAACACCUGAUGUUCCUUCAAGAAUACAAAGGCUGCAGAACAGAGAAAGAAAGAGGCUUCAAGCAUCUUGCUAUGAGUACAAAAAAGAUAAGCUACCAAAAAAGGAGGCAAAAAAGGAUGAUGAAGAAAUACCAUAAUUCAAGCUUAUCUCUUCAGAGGAGCCAUCAACACAAGAGGAUCCUCAAAAUCAGAUGGAGUCAACACAAGAGGCAUCUCAGCCCGAUGCCACAAAUCCAUUUCAUGAUCCCCCGAAAGGAACAAAUCUUCAUGAUUCGAUACCUGUAGGUAUGCAAAAAUCAGAUGAUGAAAAUGAAAGGCCAAAAAAGACACAAAAAAAAGCCAAAAAAGAAAAAAUGGGGUUAAAGGAAGGUUUGGCAGAAAAUUCCAAAAGAAGACAGGUACAAAAUUGAAGAAUACUGCUUAAGUACUCAAACUCGUGAUAACUUUUGGGCAAGACUCCAUGAUGAGAAAGUGACAAAUCAUGAUAUUAAAGAUAUUGUAUGGGACCUGGAACUGUCACAAAACGUUAUUGAGGCCUAUAUACAAAUAAAGGAGGAGAAAAUAGGGCCCAUGCAGACAGAUAGUCCACAGUACAUGUCUACAUGGACUUAGGU